GCAGGCUGUGGCCUGGGUAGCUUUCGGGCAGCAGGCUCAGUACCUGUAUCGCACCGGUGGUGCCGUGCGGCACCGGGUGCAGGUCCUGCAGGUCGCG
rnacentral:tRNA from 1 species